AUUCCUACGGGAGGCAGCAGUGGGGAAUAUUGCACAAUGGGCGAAAGCCUGAUGCAGCGACGCCGCGUGAGGGAUGAAGGCCUUCGGGUUGUAAACCUCUUUCAGCGGGGGAGAAGCGCAAGUGACGGUACCUGCAGAAGAAGCACCGGCUAACUACGUGCCAGCAGCCGCGGUAAUACGUAGGGUGCAAGCGUUGUCCGGAAUUAUUGGGCGUAAAGAGCUUGUAGGCGGUUUGUCGCGUCUGCUGUGAAAUUUCGGGGCUCAACCCCGAACUUGCAGUGGGUACGGGCAGACUAGAGUGUGGUAGGGGAGACUGGAAUUCCUGGUGUAGCGGUGAAAUGCGCAGAUAUCAGGAGGAACACCGAUGGCGAAGGCAGGUCUCUGGGCCACUACUGACGCUGAGAAGCGAAAGCAUGGGGAGCGAACAGGAUUAGAUACCCUGGUAGUCCAUGCCGUAAACGUUGGGAACUAGGUGUGGGCCUCAUUCCACGAGGUCCGUGCCGCAGCUAACGCAUUAAGUUCCCCGCCUGGGGAGUACGGCCGCAAGGCUAAAACUCAAAGGAAUUGACGGGGGCCCGCACAAGCGGCGGAGCAUGCGGAUUAAUUCGAUGCAACGCGAAGAACCUUACCAAGGCUUGACAUGUGCCGGAAAAGUGCAGAGAUGUGCUCCCCGCAAGGUCGGUACACAGGUGGUGCAUGGUUGUCGUCAGCUCGUGUCGUGAGAUGUUGGGUUAAGUCCCGCAACGAGCGCAACCCUCGUUCUAUGUUGCCAGCACGUGAUGGUGGGGACUCAUAGGAGACUGCCGGGGUCAACUCGGAGGAAGGUGGGGAUGACGUCAAAUCAUCAUGCCCCUUAUGUCUUGGGCUUCACGCAUGCUACAAUGGCCAGUACAAAGGGCUGCGAUACCGCAAGGUGGAGCGAAUCCCAAAAAACUGGUCUCAGUUCGGAUUGGGGUCUGCAACUCGACCCCAUGAAGUCGGAGUCGCUAGUAAUCGCAGAUCAGCAACGCUGCGGUGAAUACGUUCCCGGGCCUUGUACACACCGC
rnacentral:rRNA from 1 species